AGUGAACGCUGGCGGUAGGCCUAACACAUGCAAGUCGAACGGCAGCACAGUAAGAGCUUGCUCUUACGGGUGGCGAGUGGCGGACGGGUGAGGAAUACAUCGGAAUCUACUUUUUCGUGGGGGAUAACGUAGGGAAACUUACGCUAAUACCGCAUACGACCUACGGGUGAAAGCAGGGGAUCUGCGGACCUUGCGCGAUUGAAUGAGCCGAUGUCGGAUUAGCUAGUUGGCGGGGUAAAGGCCCACCAAGGCGACGAUCCGUAGCUGGUCUGAGAGGAUGGUAGCCCGCCUGAGAGCUUGACCGCCGACCCGGGGACUGAGGCACGGAGCAGUGGCGUAUAGUAGGCAGUAGGCGGAAAUAUUGCCCAAUCAUCCCAAGUCGGAGGCAGAGGCCCUCGGUGUGUAAUGACCGUCUUUGGGGUAAGAACAGCUGCCAGCUCGGAACAAGCUGGAGUGACGGUACGUGAAGAAGAAGCGCCGGCUAACUACGUG
rnacentral:rRNA from 1 species